rnacentral:rRNA from 1 species
CAGCAGCCACGGGAAAACCAGCACCCCGAGUGGUCAGGAGGUUUAUUGGGCCUAAAGCAUCCGUAGCCGGUUGCAUAAGUUUUCGGUUAAAUCUAUGCGCUUAACGUAUAGGCCGCCGAAAAUACUGUGCAGCUAGGGAGUGGGAGAGGUACACGGUACUCGAUAGGAAGGGGUAAAAUCCUUUGAUCUAUUGAUGACCACCUGUGGCGAAGGCGGUGUACCAGAACACGUUCGACGGUGAGGGAUGAAAGCUGGGGGAGCAAACCGGAUUAGAUACCCCAGUAGUCCCUGUCUCUUAUAC